rnacentral:ncRNA from 2 species
UACGAAGGGGGCUAGCGUUGUUCGGAAUUACUGGGCGUAAAGCGCACGUAGGCGGAUAUUUAAGUCGGGGGUGAAAUCCCAGGGCUCAACCCUGGAACUGCCUCCGAUACUGGGUAUCUCGAGUCCGAGAGAGGUGAGUGGAAUUCCGAGUGUAGAGGUGAAAUUCGUAGAUAUUCGGAAGAACACCAGUGGCGAAGGCGGCUCACUGGCUCGGAACUGACGCUGAGGUGCGAAAGCGUGGGGAGCAAACAGG